UACAGAGGUCUCAAGCGUUGUUCGGAUUCAUUGGGCGUAAAGGGGUGCGUAGGUGGCGCCGUAAGUCAGGUGUGAAAAUUUCGGAGCUUAACUCCGAAACUGCAUUUGAUACUGCGGUGCUUGAGGACUGGAGAGGAGACUGGAAUUUACGGUGUAGCAGUGAAAUGCGUAGAGAUCGUAAGGAAGACCAGUGGCGAAGGCGGGUCUCUGGACAGUUCCUGACACUGAGGCACGAAGGCCCAGGG
rnacentral:rRNA from 1 species